UAAUAGUAGUUGAAAAUGAUUAUCAAUACCAUAUAGAACAUCCCCCCCACAACGUUUCGUUCUUGUUGGAUUGGUCAUUUUCAAAUAUUCCCCUUUUAUAUGCCCGUAAAAGACAAUAUACGUUAUAACAACGUUUUAUAAAAGCAGUAAACCCUUACGACACUUUAGGUUUACUGCUUUU
rnacentral:ncRNA from 26 species